rnacentral:rRNA from 2 species
GAGUUUGAUCCUGGCUCAGAACGAACGCUGGCGGCAGGCCUAACACAUGCAAGUCGAACGCCCCGCAAGGGGAGUGGCAGACGGGUGAGUAACGCGUGGGAACCUUCCCUAUAGUACGGAAUAUACCAGGGAAACUUGGAGCAAUACCGUAUACGCCCGAAAGGGGAAAGAUUUAUCGCUAUAGGAUGGGCCCGCGUAGGAUUAGCUAGUUGGUGAGGUAAUGGCUCACCAAGGCGACGAUCCUUAGCUGGUCUGAGAGGAUGAUCAGCCACACUGGGACUGAGACACGGCCCAGACUCCUACGGGAGGCAGCAGUGGGGAAUAUUGGGCAAUGGGCGAAAGCCUGACCCAGCCAUGCCGCGUGAGUGACGAAGGCCUUAGGGUUGUAAAGCUCUUUUGGCGGGGACGAUAAUGACGGUACCCGCAGAAUAAGCCCCGGCUAACUUCGUGCCAGCCGCCGCCGUAA